GCAUUGGAACCACCUGACUCCAUCCCGAACUCAGAAGUGAAACGAUGCAUCGCCGAUGGUAGUGUGGGGUUUCCCCAUGUGAGAGUAGGUCAUCGCCA
rnacentral:rRNA from 2 species